ensembl:snoRNA LOC120103310 small nucleolar RNA SNORA17
CCUGUCCCUAGAGGCAUUGCAGGUGUGGUUGUUCUAUCACAUGUUCAUCAGUGGUGACAAAGGAGAGGCUAUGUCUAUACUCAGUGUCCUGAUCUAUGAACAUCUUAAUUAGUAGCCUAACUUU